CAGGAACAAAGGUGCAAAUGUUCCCACUGUUUGUGCUAUAGCACAAUUGCAGUUUUCAUAAGAUUUUAAAAUAAUUUAGAUGGAAUAUGUUCAUCUACAUUAUCUCACUGGAUGUGGGAGUAUUGCUGAGGUUCAGUGUUUUGUUCUGUUUACAAAAGAUUUGUUAAUAUUCCGGUGGGUAGCAUGUGUCCAAAUCAUAUCAGUAUAGAGGGCACUCAGCUUCCUCUCAGCUUCAAGGUACCCAUACAAUGUCAAUGGAGAAUGAUAACCUAAAACAAAAAUUCAGCAGAAUGCAUCUAAUGACAGCAGGACCCCAUACUUAAAGGCAUUUUUUUCCUUUUUAUAUGUUUAAUCUUGUGUUUAUCCAGAAGGCUCCUAGAAACUACCUGCACUGUACUAUUUAUUUUUCCCUACCUACAGGCAGAAGGCUACACCCCAAAUAAGCACCCUUAACUGUGGACCUGGGGCAGCAACAAUCCUGUUUUUUCUGCAGAACAGUCAUGGGAUUCCACAGCCACUGAGGCUCCACAUUUAGAGGCAACAAACUUCUGAUUCUGCUAUUUUGUUUUCAACAUGUAUCAUUAGCUUACGGGGAGAAAAAAAAUAUGUAAUGUUGAUUGUAGCUCAUUUCCUGCUCAGUGCUGUUGCCCAUAGGCCAGAGACUGAUAGACUGAUGACAGGUCUAUGGUACCAGAUCAAACUGAAAGUUGCCAGCCUUCACCUGGAGAUACCACUGAAUGGAGAGGACUUGACACAUCAGCUGCUGGCCCCUCAAGCAAGCAACACCUACCACAAUGCACCUAAUGUUACCCUGGAUUAAAAGCAGAGGAGAGCAUGACAAGACUCAGUCAGCACGUUCAGAAGAUUUUCAUGUUGGAAUAUUCAUCAAAGAUGUAUAUCUCCAGAGAAUUGCUAUAGUCUUAACCUAUGUAAAAUGCCUUGGUGGUUUAGUACUCAACAAUUAUUUCUUCCUUCAUCCUGAAGUAACUUCUAUUAGUAGCUGCUGGGGAAGAGAAGAAACAGAAUAACUGUCUUACCCUUAAUCCAGUAGGGGUGAAAAGAGGAAGAACCAGUCACAGAAUAAGUUUAUACACAAUACAGAUGACAACCCAUCAAAUGUUAAAUCAUCACUGUGUCACAGUAGCCUCUGACUAUGCAUAUAAAGAGUAAAUUCCCUUUUCCACAUUAGUGCAAAUUAUAAAUACCCUAAAUGUAUUGCAAUUAUACUGUUCUUUACAUAAGUCAGAAACUGCCAAAAUUGCUAUAAGGAUAAGGAUAUGAGUUUCAUCUUUCCUUCUCCUUGUA
rnacentral:lncRNA from 1 species